GAGGGUAUAGCUCAGUGGUAGAGUGGAUGUCUAGCACGCACCAGAUCCUGGGUUCAAUCUCCAGUAUCUCUA
rnacentral:tRNA from 1 species